rnacentral:snRNA from 1 species
GGAUUUUUGUAUGUUUUUCUUAUAUCCAUACACCUCAACCAAUUCCCUUAUUAAUCUAACAGAUUUUUCAAUGGUCUUUUAAAAUCUAUUUCUUUUUUCUUUUUAUCCUCCCUCACCGCUCCAUGUGCGUCCCUCCCGAAGCUGCGCGCUCGGUCGAAGAGGACGACCAUCCCCGAUAGAGGAGGACCGUUCUUCGGUCAAGGGUAUACGAGUAGCUGCGCUCCCCUGCUAGAACCUCCAAACAAGCUCUCAAGGUUCUUUUUAAAUUUAAAUUCAAUUUGCCAACAUAUAACACCCAGGGCU